UACGGAGGGUGCAAGCAUUAAUCGGAAUUAUUGGGCGUAAAGGGCGCGUAGGCGGGUAAGAAAGUCAGGUGUGAAAUUCCGAGGCUCAACUUCGGAGCUGCACUUGAAACUUCUUGUCUUGAGGAUUGGCGGAGAGAACGGAAUUCCACGUGUAGCGGUGAAAUGCGUAGAUAUGUGGAAGAACACCUGUGGCGAAAGCGGUUCUCUAGCUUAUAACUGACGCUGAGGCGCGAGAGCAAGGGGAGCAAACAGG
rnacentral:rRNA from 1 species